AACUCCUUUGAGGCUACGGGUCCCAAUUGGCAAAGGGGGUCAUCUCCCUUAUAAGGGCACAACAACGAAACAUGGAACAUUGGAUGAAUGUGUGAGGGUUUUGGCAAGGGCACAACAACGAAACAUGGAACAUUGGAUGAAUGUGUGAGGGUUUUGGCAAGAGCAGUUCAUAAGCCACCAAGUCAAUGUGGCGGUGAACCUGGAAGGGGCCUUAAUACCUCUUGGCUAGCUUCUGGGAUGUGCAACGCUGCAACGAUGUUUGUUGGAGGAGUUGAAUGGUCGUGGAAGAAUGGCCGUACAACACAUCAAUGGGGUUAAGAGGCGCACAUCCAUAUAGAGCUUGAAAGGGUGUGGUGCCAAUACUGUGUGGAAGGAGGUGUUGUGCCAGUACUCUGUUAGAUGGAGAUAUUGAUACCAUGCGCAAGGGUGAUCAUUGACAAAGCAACGGAGGUAACUCAUUUGAUCUGUGAUUAUUUGAAAGUAUUGUCUGACCAAAUAUUGACACCACUUUUUUUAUUGCCUUCGUGACAACAAACAUUUCUCGAACAUAUAUUGACGUGACCUGAAACUUAGGAUAAAGGCAAUUAUUGAAGAAGACAAGAGGAUGACAAUGCUGGGACAAAACUACACCUAUUACUCCACCAUAAGCGUCUGUCUCAAUGACAAAUGGAGAGCUGAAGUCUAGUAGAGCAAGAACAGGAACGAAUGUAAUUUUUUCUUUUAACUCUAUAAAUGCUUGUUGGGCCUGUAAACUCCAUUGAAAAGUAGUAGAAUGCAACAAAUUGGUGAAA